UACGUAGGGGCAAGCGUUGGUCCGGAAUCAUUGGGCGUAAAGCGCGUGUAGGCGGCCCGGUAAGUCCGCUGUGAAAGUCGGGGGCUCAACCCUCGAAUGCCGGUGGAUACUGUCGGGCUAGAGUGCGGAAGAGGCGAGUGGAAUUCCCGGUGUAGCGGUGAAAUGCGCAGAUAAUCGGGAGGAACACCGGUGGCGAAGGCGGGUCUCUGGGCCGGAUAUUGACGCUGAGGAGCGAAAGCGUGGGGAGCGAACAGG
rnacentral:rRNA from 1 species